UGAUUUAUGACUUCAAUUAGGCUUUUUCAAUAGUUUUGUAGCCAUUAAAGCUUCGAUUUUGACAAUUUUCAUUUCUUGCAUUUGCUCAACUAAUCAUGGCAAAUUCAAUAUUCAUCUCUGGAACUCAAAGUUUGAGUGUUUGUAACAGAGUUUCCCCAAAUGGGUUAGGCUUUGUUGGCUCAGAUUUCAAUGGGAAUCAAUUUUCCAAGCUGGGUUUAUCAAGAACCAGUUAUAAAAUCAAAACCCUAGCUCCAAUUUGCAGUAUUUCAACAUCUAGGCCAGCUUCACAGCCAAGAUUCAUCCAGCACAAACAAGAAGCUUUUUGGUUUUAUAGGUUUUUAUCUAUUGUGUAUGAUCAUGUUAUUAAUCCUGGUCAUUGGACUGAAGAUAUGAGGGAUGAUGCACUUGAACCAGCUGAUCUUAAUGACAGGAAUUUGACUGUGGUGGAUGUUGGUGGUGGCACUGGUUUCACUACAUUGGGUAUAGUUGAGCAUGUAGAUGCCAAGAAUGUUACAAUUCUUGACCAAUCUCCUCAUCAAUUAGCUAAGGCUAAGGAAAAGGAGCCUUUGAAAGAAUGCAAGAUAAUUGAGGGUGAUGCUGAGGAUCUUCCAUUCUCAACUGACUAUGCUGAUAGAUAUGUAUCUGCUGGAAGUAUUGAAUACUGGCCGGACCCACAACGUGGAAUCCGAGAGGCAUACAGAGUUCUGAAACCUGGAGCAAAGGCGUGCUUAAUCGGUCCUGUGCACCCUACCUUUUGGUUGUCUCGUUUCUUUGCUGAUGUGUGGAUGCUCUUCCCUAAGGAGGAAGAAUACAUAGAGUGGUUUGAGAAGGCAGGAUUCACGGACGUCCAACUGAAGAAGAUCGGCCCAAAAUGGUAUCGUGGAGUUCGAAGGCAUGGGCUUAUCAUGGGAUGUUCUGUUACUGGUGUUAAGUCUACACCAGGGGAUUCACCACUGCAGCUUGGCCCAAAAGCAGAAGAUGUGACAAAACCUGUAAAUCCAUUUGUCUUUAUGCUGCGGUUUCUUCUGGGUGCAACGGCAGCAACAUACUAUGUUUUGGUUCCUAUUUACAUGUGGGUUAAAGACCAGGUUGUUCCUGAAGGCGAACCUCUGUGAGAGACCAAGCUACUUAAUCCUACUGGCUGAUCCUUCUACCGUUGCACCUGGUUCUAGUUAGCGCAGUUGUGCAUCUCACUUUUAUGCCUAGAAUUUUCUGUGAAUGACAUCUUAGCUUGGUCUCAACUAAAGUUGAUAUAAUUUUCCAAAUGUAGACUCUACUCCUUUACUAUAGCUCUUUUCGGAUGACUUCAAACUUUUAUUAUCUGAACCUGGUGAGUUUGUAACUCCUUAUAAUGCUCCUACUAUUAA
rnacentral:misc_RNA from 1 species